GACGAACGCUGGCGGCGUGCCUAACACAUGCAAGUCGAACGGGGAGUUAUUUAUAACUCCUAGUGGCGAACGGGUGAGUAACGCGUAGACAACCUGCCUCUAAAUUGGGGAAAACACCGCGAAAGUGGUGCUAAUACCGAAUGUGGUAACUUGGUCGCAUGACUAGGGUAAGAAAGAUGGCAUCUAUAUAUAAGCUAUCGAUUAGAGAUGGGUCUUGGUCUGAUUAGCUAGUUGGUGAGGUAAUGGCUCACCAAGGCGACGAUCAGUAGCCGGUCUGAGAGGAUGAACGGCCACACGGGGACUGAGACACGGCCCAGACUCCUACGGGAGGCAGCAGUGGGGAAUCUUCCGCAACGGACGAAAGUCUGACGGAGCAACGCCGCGUGAGUGAAGAAGGUCUUCGGAUUGUAAAGCUCUGUCGUUUGGGACGAACGUGGAUUGUGUGAAUAAUGCAGUCUAAUGACGGUACCAAGGGAGGAAGCCACGGCUAACUACGUGCCAGCCGCCGCUGUAA
rnacentral:rRNA from 1 species